CGAUUGAUAGGUCGGAAGGUUUUAUCCUUUAUAAAGGCUGUAGGUGUUCGUAGUUUUGCGGAAGCUUUGUGCUUCUUGUUCGGCAUUAUGCACCACACCGUGGUGUCGUUCAAAGGUGCUGCAAGGCCUUCAUGUUGAUACUCGAUAGUCUAUUAAAUGUCUGGCAAUACUCGUGUUUGUAUUUUAUGCACGGAAUGGCAAAUGUCGUACUUCAAUCCGUGUCUUAAUCCAGACGUAUGAAACACUCCGACAGAUUAGCGGUGGAUUGGCGUGAAUUAAAAAUACCUUAAUCCGUGACUUUUAGGGGGUGUUUCCACUUGGAUUAAAAGUCACGGAUUAAGGUAUCC
rnacentral:lncRNA from 1 species